rnacentral:rRNA from 1 species
UGGGGAAUUUUGGACAAUGGGCGAAAGCCUGAUCCAGCAAUGCCGCGUGUGUGAAGAAGGCCUUCGGGUUGUAAAGCACUUUUGUCCGGAAAGAAAUCCUUGGCUCUAAUACAGUCGGGGGAUGACGGUACCGGAAGAAUAAGCACCGGCUAACUACGUGCCAGCAGCCGCGGUAAUACGUAGGGUGCAAGCGUUAAUCGGAAUUACUGGGCGUAAAGCGUGCGCAGGCGGUUUGCUAAGACCGAUGUGAAAUCCCCGGGCUCAACCUGGGAACUGCAUUGGUGACUGGCAGGCUAGAGUAUGGCAGAGGGGGGUAGAAUUCCACGUGUAGCAGUGAAAUGCGUAGAGAUGUGGAGGAAUACCGAUGGCGAAGGCAGCCCCCUGGGCCAAUACUGACGCUCAUGCACGAAAGCGUGGGGAGCAAACAGGAUUAGAUACCCUGGUAGUCCACGCCCUAAACGAUGUCAACUAGUUGUUGGGGACUUCAUUUCCUUAGUAACGUAGCUAACGCGUGAAGUUGACCGCCUGGGGGAGUACGGUCGCAAGAUUAAAACUUAAAUGAAUUGACGGGGUCAUAGCUGUUUCCU